GGCUGCUGCCGCGUGGGGGAUGAGUCAGCACGGGGAUCCCGCCGGCUAAUGUCUCAGUUCUCUCCCAAAGCCUCCAUCUCCAGUCUCCUCAAACGUCUCCAGCCCACUCUGUCCCCGCCUUUGCUGAAGCCCAGGGUCUCUUGAACCCGCUGGCGGUCUCGGAAGUGCGCCUGGCUUUCUGCUAAAAGCAAGGACUGAAACGACAGCCCUCCGUGUGCCACCCAGGUGCCCAGCGUCCAGGUGCCCUGCGUCCGGCUGCCCCCGUGGAGCCCUAUCCCGCCCACUCAAAGCGUCCUGAGAAAACACCUCCAUGGACCGGCUCCCCAAGGAUUCAACGCUUUCCAGGAGGGUCCCACCCACGGCCCACGGGCGACCCAGGGUAGCUACUGAAUGCGGCCCAACCCAAAAGUGUACAUUUACUUAAAGCGUUGCGGUUUUUUGUGAUUACCUGUCGCAAUGUAUUUAAUGUGUGGCCCAGAGACGCCCAAAGGCUGGACACCCCGCGGGACAGAACAGUGGAAAAUCUCAUCAGAACCAAACAGCCCGUCUUGGGCGGCGACAGGGCCGCGAGAUACAAAUUCUACAACUUGUGUGGUGUGAUCGAACCACGACGUAGGUCACCCCACCUGCCACGUUACAGAUGAAGAAACCAGGACCCCAACCAGUUUAAUGAGAAAGCUGGGCGCCAAACCCGGUCGCCUACUCGUGACAUUAUGCCUCUGACCUUUCCCACGGACACAAGCUCUUCCACAUAAAGCUGUUCAAACUGUUAUUAAGUGGGGCUGUAUUUUAUGGGGUAAAUGUAACAAAUGUCAGCUACUAGCCUAAACUGGCCUUCGGGAACAUC